UCUGUUUCUGGUACAGACCUGUUUCUUUCUGAGUAGGGAAUAGAUUUAGUCGCUAUAUUCCACAGUAUUGGAGUUAAAAUUAUUCUCUAUAUGCGUAAGGAAGAGUCGAAUUAAUUAUGAUCGCUUUUAAAGCAUAUUUUUUUUUAUGUUCAUUAUUUUUUCGUAACUUAUUAUAGUUAAGCGGCUUACUGGUAUUAUGAAGGAAACAUACCAGACUUGGUCCAGGGAGAAAUGAAUUGAACACUGAAGAUGAAGAUAGACAUUAUUGCAUAUUUUUUUGCCGACACAUGGACAAGCAUUGAAAAAAUUCAAGUGUUACAUGCAAAAAUCUGAACUAUGUUGAUAUUUUAUUAUUCCAUGAUUUCAUAUCCCAUUUGAUGAUUUUGGUGAGCCUUCUAGCAUUAAAGGACAGACACUAUCUGCAAGCAUUCUUUAGAGACAUUCCUCACCAAAAACAGACAAUCUUACAGAGUAAGAGACAAUAAACUAAGUUUCUGCAGAAAACCAUUUUUAUAUUAUACAUUUUAAUAUUAUUAUUUUGGUGGUGCUGAAUAUUUAAAUUUAUCUAAUAUUUUCACAGAUAUCACUUUAUCUUUUUUAUGUUCUAAAUAAUCUUGUUCAAAAUGAUUUCUGUAUUAAUGUAAAGGUAAAGGAAACUUGGGUAUCACUUGUAAUAUACUUUUAAAUUUUAAUUUAUUGCUUGAAUACCACUAUAAGGAAUGGCUGUGUGUCGAAGGGCCCUCACAUACUUCCAAGUCUUGUGGUGGUGGGGGAAUUGUAAUGAUAUCUUAAUAUCUAAUUUAAUCCAAAUUAAUUUUCUAAAUGUUUUUAAUACCCCAUGUCGGUUUUUUGCCUAAUUUUUUUUUAAUACCCCAUGUCGGGGUUAUCUAAAAUGUUCUCUUGUUCCCUGAUACCAUUCCAGGUAUAAAGCUGUGUAAAAAUUACACUUGAGACAUACAAUCUUGUGCAAUCAAUUGUAUGUCUCAAGUGAAAAUGAUCUGUCUGUUGCCCUAGCCCAAGGUCAACACGUUUUCAAUUGACACGUGGCCAGAAAUCCCAUGUUAUAUAAAACUAGUGAUAAUUUGUUUCGCUCUUUUUCUUACUUCUACUUUUGUCCUGCGCUGCUCUUGUAAAUAAAUCAUACCUGUCUCCCAGGAGAGAAUAAAAUGAAAUUAAAAAUACAAAGUAUCUUCACUGCUUGUCAAACCUGCAUUCUGCUUCAAACAAAAUAAGCUUAUAUAUAUAUAUAUAUAUUAACUUCUCUGAGAUCAUUUUGCUGAAUUAGGAAUUACUGGAUGUCGUAGCUAAUAAUUUUUUUGUUGCUUAUUUUUAAACAUUAUGAACAUAUAUCCAUAUGUUUUAUUACAUUGUAUGCAUCUUUUACUAAAUUCUUCAUGGAUGGACAUUAUUUCUAAUAUUUUAUUCUAGCACUUUACUAAAAUAAAGAAUUAAUUGAUAGUUUUGAAAAUGAUUUUGCUCGAUAAUUUUGAAAUAAUAUCAAGCACAAGAAAUUAAUUUGCUUGAGAUAUUAUAGAUGCACAUCUCUUUUAAUUUUUGCAAAAAGAAGGGGGAGGGGAAGGAAGGGCAGAAUUUUUCUUAUAUGUUUUGAUGUGUAUAUGCCAUUGAAUGCUAUAAAAAUUUAUGGAAUUGUUCAAUUAAUUAAUGGCAAAGCAGAUUUUAUACCAUUUUCUUUCAAGUGCAACGGAAGUUUCAUGUUGGAGAUUUCGCAGUAAUAUAUCAUCAUAUGCAUGUCUCAUUAUCCUGAUAUCUGUUUCAUUACUUUGAUAUUCUGAUAUAACCUUUCUGCUACUUUGAAUGCUCUUCAAUAAAAUAACCUAGAUUGUAUGGAAAUUUGUCCAAGUGACUAAGCAGAAAAUGAAUCCAAGCUUUCACAUUUACAUCCAAACUUUCAAAAUUUUUAAGCAUAUUUUGAUUUAUUCUUCAAUAUUCUAUGUUUUAUGGUUAUGGGAAUUUAAGAAAACAAUUCAUAAGUGCUGAAAAUUUGAAAUAAUAACAUAACUGUAAAAACAUUUAUGUUAAAGUUUGUAAAUUUGAGGACCACCAAAAAAAUUUCUGCUUGCAGCUUUUCAUUAAUCAAUCAUGGAAACGAUUCAUAAAUACCAAAUUUUUGGGAGAAUCGUCCAAUUUCUGUCAAAGACUCAAUAUUCACUAUACUUACAAUCAGCAUUUUUUUAUUUCAUUUUUUUCCCAUUGAUUCUUGUUUGAUUUUAUAAUGUCACAAGCAAAUGAAACAAGGAUGUUUUUGUUCACCCAGAAGAAAGUUCAUCAACUUUUGAUGAAAGCAAAUACAUCAUUGGUGUUCCUAUUAGCAGAAGUAUAUUACACAUCUUCUCUUAAAGCACUAAGCCAAUUCAACCAAACUUUGGACAUUAAGACACGAGAAGAAACAUUGUCAGUUUUUCCAAAAUUUAGUAAUAUUUAUUUAAAUAGAAAUUAACCCUGAACUUUUUUAACAAUAAAUUCAGGGUAAAUUAUUCUAAAAGAAAAAAUUUAAAAACAUCCCAAGAUUCAAAAUUGCCCUAAAUUGAAAAAAACUAAGCAUAAUAUUUCUUUCAGUUAUUAAUUUAAGGAAUUUUAAUGCACUAAUAGCCAUUAACUUUAAACUAUUCUAUCAUUAUUUUUAAAAAAAAAUGUUUUAUCUUACUACAUAUCCUUUUACCAAGUUAUUUGUUUAAAAGUAGUGAUUUAAUAAUGUCCAAAAGCCGGUAGAAGUCGUUCAUUGACACAGAAGUAAGGAAAUUAUUCCUAAGAAAUUUACAUAAUCUUAAAAUUAAAAACUUCGUUUUUCAAUGAAUCCAUUUUCUUUUAGUGUAGGUUUAUCCUUCAAUUAUUACAAAACUUUUAGAAAAUUUAAUAUCGAUGAUUUCAAAUAAGAGAAUUGAUAGGUACUCCUUUUGCUGGGCGAGUUUAAGACUCCAGAAUACUGUAUCACUAUUUUUAAAAAAUAUCCUUUAUUUCAAUACAUUUAUUUUAAAAAGAUUUUGUAUUUUAUAAUGUUUUAUACAAAAAUAAUUUCUUAGUUAAAAAUAUAACACAUGAAAUAAUUUUAAUCUCAAGAAACAGUAAAUAUAUCAACUAGUUAUGUCUAUAAACUCAAAUACUUGAUAUAAAGGUUUCCCAAAAGUAAUAAAUGUGAGUGUUGUGAAGUAAAUGCAACAAAAGGAUUGUGGUCAAAAGUGUCUCCUUGUGAAUGAAUUAUAUGAAUGGAAAGUAUACAUCAAAUAUAAUGUACAACACAGAUUUACAAUAGAAAGGCAACCAAUCUGUGUGAAUAACAGCAUGCAAAAUUGUGUCUGAUGGAAAGUUUCUUCAACUCUUAAAUAUUACAAAAGUUUGUUUGGUAAUAUUACACAUUAUUAUCAGUCAUAGCUAUCAUGCCUUUGUAUGACUUAUAAUAAUAUUUUUAUUUAUGCAAUGGGACAAUCUUGCUAGAGUAUAUCUUUAUUUUAUAAAUAUGUCUUAAAUAUCGUACUUGCUGUAUUUUUCUUUAAUUUAAUUCACUGACAAUAUGCCUCUUGCAACAGCUCUCCUUUGUAUAUAUGAGCUUAUUGCAAAAAUGUCUGUUUCUGUACAUUUACAAUUUAUCAACAAAUUAAGCUAAUUAACAGUCAUCGAUAUGAAAAGGUAUUAAAUAUUAGAAAUCCAUGAUCCUUUUAAAGAAUAAUAGGUAUAAAUGUCCAUCUUUUUAUAUGUUCAGUAAAAUUCUUAUUCCAUCUUUGUUCAAGUGUACUUUCCUUUUUUGAAUGAAUUUGGAUAUGCACUCUUGUAUGGAUAUGAAAUUGAAGAAUUGGUGUGAGUUUUAAUUUCUCAUUAAAUUGAUUUUGAAUAUUAUCAAGCUGCUAUUAAAGUAAAACAAAAAUGAUAUAUAUAUAUAUUUUAAA